GAAAGACAAAGCCAAGCAAAUUAAAAAGAAAGGAGAAAAGAAGAGACGCAAGCAAGGCUAGGGCUCCAAAAUUUUCCAAGUUUAAUUGCUAACGUUAUACCGGAAUCCUCAAUUAAAAAAGGAAAAGAUAAGGUCGACGUCGAAUAGUUCGGAAUUCUUGAUUAGGUUCUUAACUUUUGAUCGCCAAUUCAGCAUCCAACAACGAUCCUAACCUCAAAUGUAGUGAUGUUUAUCUUUUGUGUUGGCAUGUACCUAGGGUGUCUAAAUAACAGUUAUUUUGUGGAUUGAUUGUAAAUAAUAUUAUAAGUUUAAUAUUAGUUUGAUAUAUAUAAACGUGUUUGUUUUUGAAGCCAUAUUAUGGCAUGGUAUAUUGAAUUAAACUUAGAUAUGUGUAUAUGAGUUUAAGUUGAUGUAUAAGUGCUCAUGAACUAGGCAAAAUGGAUUAAAUUUGGUAUUUUUAUAAUUUAGAUUUGAAUGAUGCUUUGAUGAUA